ACUGCGGAGACAUUACUGAGUGAGGGUCCCUCGGGGCCCAACCUCCCACCCGUGUAUACCGUACCUUGUUGCUUCGGCGAGCCCGCCCCCCUUCCUUAGGGGUGGCACAGCGCUCGCCGGAGACACCAACGUGAACACUGUCUGAAGUUUUGUCGUCUGAGUCGAUUGUAUCGCAAUCAGUUAAAACUUUCAACAAUGGAUCUCUUGGUUCCGGCAUCGAUGAAGAACGCAGCGAAAUGCGAUAAUUAAUGUGAAUUGCAGAAUUCAGUGAAUCAUCGAGUCUUUGAACGCACAUUGCACCCCCUGGUAUUCCGGGGGGUAUGCCUGUCCGAGCGUCAUUGCUGCCCUCAAGCACGGCUUGUGUGUUGGGUCGUCGUCCCCCCCGGGGGACGGGCCCGAAAGGCAGCGGCGGCACCGCGUCCGGUCCUCGAGCGUAUGGGGCUUUGUCACCCGCUCUUGUAGGCCCGGCCGGCUGCUGGCCGACGCUGAAAAGCAACCAAUUUAUUUCUCCAGGUUGACCUCGGAUCAGGUAGGGAUACCCGCUGAACUUAAGCAUAUCAAUAAGCGGAGGAA
rnacentral:rRNA from 1 species